GAUGAACGCUAGCGGCAGGCUUAACACAUGCAAGUCGAGGGGUAGUGGUAGCAAUACCAUGAGACCGGCAAACGGGUGCGGAACACGUACACAAUCUACCUUUAUCUGGGGCAUAGCCCGAAGAAAUUCGGAUUAAUACCCCAUAAAAUAACAAAGUGGCAUCACUUAAUUAUUAAAUCUCCGGAGGAUAGAGAUGAGUGUGCGUCCCAUUAGCUAGUUGGUAGGGUAACGGCCUACCAAGGCGACGAUGGGUAGCUGGUGUGAGAGCACGACCAGCCACACGGGCACUGAGACACGGGCCCGACUCCUACGGGAGGCAGCAGUGAGGAAUAUUGGUCAAUGGACGCAAGUCUGAACCAGCCAUGCCGCGUGAAGGAUGAAGGCGUUAUGCGUUAGUAAACUUUCUUUUAUCUGGGAAGAAACCUUAGUAUUCUUACUAAGCCGACGGUACCAGAGGAAUAAG
rnacentral:rRNA from 1 species